GGGGGGGGCAAGCGUUGUUCGGAAUUACUGGGCGUAAAGGGCUUGUAGGCGGCCAACUAAGUCCGACGUGAAAUCCCCAGGCUCAACCUGGGAACUGCGUCGGAUACUGGAUGGCUUGAAUUCGGGAGAGGGAUGCAGAAUUCCAGGUGUAGCGGUGAAAUGCGUAGAUAUCUGGAGGAAUACCGGUGGCGAAGGCGGCAUCCUGGACCGAGAUUGACGCUGAAAAGCGAAAGCCAGGGGAGCAAACGGGAUUAGAUACCCCGGUAGUCCUGGCCCUAAACGAUGAAUGCUUGGUGUGGCGGGUAUCGAUCCCUGCCGUGCCGAAGCUAACGCAUUAAGCAUUCCGCCUGGGGAGUACGGUCGCAAGGCUG
rnacentral:rRNA from 1 species